AAUAAAAUCCUCACCUCAGCUUUCAAAAAAAAGUUUAAACAAAACAAACAAAAGAUACUGCAAUGAAAAGCCUUCUUCAUGCCCCCUUUGCGCUUAAUUGCCUUUUCAUAUAUUUUCCCAUUUAUUUUUCUAUUGAGUUGUUUGGCUUCUAUUUAUUAAACUGUAGAAUUUCUUUAUACAUUCUUGCUUGUAAUCCUUUGACACUUAGAGUUGCAUAUAUCUUAUCCUGAUGAAUGACCAUCUUUUGCCUUUGUUUAUUUUGUUUUUUUAAUCAAGUUGAAGAUUUUAGAUUUAAACCCUCAUUAAAUUAGCUUUUAAUCCUUAUUAAUUUUUACCAAAUUAAUGUUUCCUUUGUGUUUUAUUCUAUAUGUAUCUUAUGUGAGAAAAGCCUUCUCUACUCCACUUAUAAAGUUAUUCCCUAUAAUUUCUUUUAAAAUAUUUGUUUUGCUUUUAACAUUUGUUUUUAAUCCAUUUAAAAUGUAUUUUUGUAAAUACUGAGGAUAAGCAUCUAUGUUUAAGUUUUCAGUACGAAUAAACCUAUUGCCCUGGUAAUAUAAGGUGAGAAGUCUAAUAUUUUCCCCAUUGAUUUAUAAGACUGUCUUUUCACAUGCCAAACUCCCUUAGAAGAAUAAUCCCUGUGUGGGGACUUUAAUCUCUUUUAUUUACCCAUUGGUCCCAGGUUUUUUUUAAAUAAAGUUUUAAUACAGUUUUUAAAUAAGAUUUAUUUUUGGAAUAAUUUUGGAUUUACAAGAAAACUGCAAAGACAUUAUAAUAUUUAUGUUGUGCACCCAAGGUCCCCUAUUAUUGACACCUUAAUUAGUAUGGUAUGUUACAAUUAAUGAACCAAUAUUGGUACAUUAUUAUUAACUAAAUUACAUUCUUUAAUCACAUUUCCUAGUUUUACCUAAUGUCCUGUUUCUGUUCCAGGAUAAGACCACGUUAAGUUGUCAUAUCUCCUUAGGCUCACCUAACAAUUUCUCAGACUUUCUUUGUUUUAACGAUCUUGACAGUGUUGAGAGGUAUUGGUCAGGUAGUUUAUACAAUGUCACUUUAUUGGGAUUUGUCUAAUGUUUUUUUCUCAUUAUUAGACUGGGCCUCUAGGUUUUUUGAUCUGCUUGGGUGCCUGCCCUGCUCUCCCCAGAAAGCUUCAUUAUGCACCCAGAAGUCAGAAGACAUCACAUAAAUAAAAUUAACUGCAUUUUGAACCAGGCUCUAAGCUGGUUAAUGGAAACUGAGAUGAAUUGUUUCUGAAUGGAUAUCAACGCUCAUCCUUGCAAUUGGAACACCUGUCCCGACAAAUAAAAGAACUGUUGCUUAAAAAAUAA